UACAGAGGGUGCAAGCGGUAAUCGGAUUUACUGGGCGUAAAGCGCGCGUAGGUGGCCAAUUAAGUCAAAUGUGAAAUCCCCGAGCUUAACUUGGGAAUUGCAUUCGAUACUGGUUGGCUAGAGUAUGGGAGAGGAUGGUAGAAUUCCAGGUGUAGCGGUGAAAUGCGUAGAGAUCUGGAGGAAUACCGAUGGCGAAGGCAGCCAUCUGGCCUAAUACUGACACUGAGGUGCGAAAGCAUGGGGAGCAAACAGG
rnacentral:rRNA from 1 species